GACGAACGCUGGCGGCGUGCUUAACACAUGCAAGUCGAACGGAAAGGCCCUGCUUUUGUGGGGUGCUCGAGUGGCGAACGGGUGAGUAACACGUGAGUAACCUGCCCUUGACUUUGGGAUAACUUCAGGAAACUGGGGCUAAUACCGGAUAGGAGCUCCUGCUGCAUGGUGGGGGUUGGAAAGUUUCGGCGGUUGGGGAUGGACUCGCGGCUUAUCAGCUUGUUGGUGGGGUAGUGGCUUACCAAGGCUUUGACGGGUAGCCGGCCUGAGAGGGUGACCAGCCACAAUGGGACUGAGAGACGGCGCAGACUCCUACGGGAGGCAGCAGUGGAGAAUAUGGCACAAUGGGCGGAAGCCUGAUGCAGCGGCGCCGCGUGCGGGAUGACGGCUUUCGGGGUGUAAACCGCUUUCGCCUGUGACGAAGCGUGAGUGACGGUAAUGGGUAAAGAAGCACCGGCUAACUACGUG
rnacentral:rRNA from 1 species